rnacentral:rRNA from 1 species
GGGUUGUGAGGUUAAGCGACUAAGCGUACACGGUGGAUGCCCUGGCAGUCAGAGGCGAUGAAGGACGUGCUAAUCUGCGAUAAGCGUCGGUAAGGUGAUAUGAACCGUUAUAACCGGCGAUUUCCGAAUGGGGAAACCCAGUGUGAUUCGUCACACUAUCAUUAACUGAAUCCAUAGGUUAAUGAGGCGAACCGGGGGAACUGAAACAUCUAAGUACCCCGAGGAAAAGAAAUCAACCGAGAUUCCCCCAGUAGCGGCGAGCGAACGGGGAGCAGCCCAGAGCCUGAAUCAGUGUGUGUGUUAGUGGAAGCGUCUGGAAAGGCGUGCGAUACAGGGUGACAGCCCCGUACACAAAAAUGCACAUGCUGUGAGCUCGAUGAGUAGGGCGGGACACGUGGUAUCCUGUCUGAAUAUGGGGGGACCAUCCUCCAAGGCUAAAUACUCCUGACUGACCGAUAGUGAACCAGUACCGUGAGGGAAAGGCGAAAAGAACCCCGGCGAGGGGAGUGAAAAAGAACCUGAAACCGUGUACGUACAAGCAGUGGGAGCCUCUUUAUGGGGUGACUGCGUACCUUUUGUAUAAUGGGUCAGCGACUUAUAUUCUGUAGCAAGGUUAACCGAAUAGGGGAGCCGAAGGGAAACCGAGUCUUAACUGGGCGUUAAGUUGCAGGGUAUAGACCCGAAACCCGGUGAUCUAGCCAUGGGCAGGUUGAAGGUUGGGUAACACUAACUGGAGGACCGAACCGACUAAUGUUGAAAAAUUAGCGGAUGACUUGUGGCUGGGGGUGAAAGGCCAAUCAAACCGGGAGAUAGCUGGUUCUCCCCGAAAGCUAUUUAGGUAGCGCCUCGUGAAUUCAUCUCCGGGGGUAGAGCACUGUUUCGGCAAGGGGGUCAUCCCGACUUACCAACCCGAUGCAAACUGCGAAUACCGGAGAAUGUUAUCACGGGAGACACACGGCGGGUGCUAACGUCCGUCGUGAAGAGGGAAACAACCCAGACCGCCAGCUAAGGUCCCAAAGUCAUGGUUAAGUGGGAAACGAUGUGGGAAGGCCCAGACAGCCAGGAUGUUGGCUUAGAAGCAGCCAUCAUUUAAAGAAAGCGUAAUAGCUCACUGGUCGAGUCGGCCUGCGCGGAAGAUGUAACGGGGCUAAACCAUGCACCGAAGCUGCGGCAGCGACACUAUGUGUUGUUGGGUAGGGGAGCGUUCUGUAAGCCGUUGAAGGUGGCCUGUGAGGGUUGCUGGAGGUAUCAGAAGUGCGAAUGCUGACAUAAGUAACGAUAAAGCGGGUGAAAAGCCCGCUCGCCGGAAGACCAAGGGUUCCUGUCCAACGUUAAUCGGGGCAGGGUGAGUCGACCCCUAAGGCGAGGCCGAAAGGCGUAGUCGAUGGGAAACAGGUUAAUAUUCCUGUACUUGGUGUUACUGCGAAGGGGGGACGGAGAAGGCUAUGUUGGCCGGGCGACGGUUGUCCCGGUUUAAGCGUGUAGGCUGAUUUUCCAGGCAAAUCCGGAGAAUCAAGGCUGAGGCGUGAUGACGAGGCACUACGGUGCUGAAGCAACAAAUGCCCUGCUUCCAGGAAAAGCCUCUAAGCAUCAGGUAACAUCAAAUCGUACCCCAAACCGACACAGGUGGUCAGGUAGAGAAUACCAAGGCGCUUGAGAGAACUCGGGUGAAGGAACUAGGCAAAAUGGUGCCGUAACUUCGGGAGAAGGCACGCUGAUGGUAGGUGAAGCGACUUGCUCGUGGAGCUGAAAUCAGUCGAAGAUACCAGCUGGCUGCAACUGUUUAUUAAAAACACAGCACUGUGCAAACACGAAAGUGGACGUAUACGGUGUGACGCCUGCCCGGUGCCGGAAGGUUAAUUGAUGGGGUCAGCCGCAAGGCGAAGCUCUUGAUCGAAGCCCCGGUAAACGGCGGCCGUAACUAUAACGGUCCUAAGGUAGCGAAAUUCCUUGUCGGGUAAGUUCCGACCUGCACGAAUGGCGUAAUGAUGGCCAGGCUGUCUCCACCCGAGACUCAGUGAAAUUGAACUCGCUGUGAAGAUGCAGUGUACCCGCGGCAAGACGGAAAGACCCCGUGAACCUUUACUAUAGCUUGACACUGAACAUUGAGCCUUGAUGUGUAGGAUAGGUGGGAGGCUUUGAAGUGUGGACGCCAGUCUGCAUGGAGCCGACCUUGAAAUACCACCCUUUAAUGUUUGAUGUUCUAACGUGGACCCGUGAUCCGGGUUGCGGACAGUGUCUGGUGGGUAGUUUGACUGGGGCGGUCUCCUCCUAAAGAGUAACGGAGGAGCACGAAGGUUGGCUAAUCCUGGUCGGACAUCAGGAGGUUAGUGCAAUGGCAUAAGCCAGCUUGACUGCGAGCGUGACGGCGCGAGCAGGUGCGAAAGCAGGUCAUAGUGAUCCGGUGGUUCUGAAUGGAAGGGCCAUCGCUCAACGGAUAAAAGGUACUCCGGGGAUAACAGGCUGAUACCGCCCAAGAGUUCAUAUCGACGGCGGUGUUUGGCACCUCGAUGUCGGCUCAUCACAUCCUGGGGCUGAAGUAGGUCCCAAGGGUAUGGCUGUUCGCCAUUUAAAGUGGUACGCGAGCUGGGUUUAGAACGUCGUGAGACAGUUCGGUCCCUAUCUGCCGUGGGCGCUGGAGAACUGAGGGGGGCUGCUCCUAGUACGAGAGGACCGGAGUGGACGCAUCACUGGUGUUCGGGUUGUCAUGCCAAUGGCACUGCCCGGUAGCUAAAUGCGGAAGAGAUAAGUGCUGAAAGCAUCUAAGCACGAAACUUGCCCCGAGAUGAGUUCUCCCUGAGACUUUAAGUCUCCUGAAGGAACGUUGAAGACGACGACGUUGAUAGGCCGGGUGUGUAAGCGCAGCGAUGCGUUGAGCUAACCGGUACUAAUGAACCGUGAGGCUUAACCUUACAACGCCGAAG